rnacentral:rRNA from 1 species
GCGUGCGGAUGACGGUCCUAUGGAUUGUAAACUGCUUUUGUACGGGAAGAAACCCUCCUACGUGUAGGAGCUUGACGGUACCGUAAGAAUAAGGAUCGGCUAACUCCGUGCCAGCAGCCGCGGUAAUACGGAGGAUCCAAGCGUUAUCCGGAAUCAUUGGGUUUAAAGGGUCCGUAGGCGGUUUAGUAAGUCAGUGGUGAAAGCCCAUCGCUCAACGGUGGAACGGCCAUUGAUACUGCUGAACUUUGAAUUACUUGGGAAGUAACUAGAAUAUGUAGUGUAGCGGUGAAAUGCUUUAGAGAUUACAUGGAAUACCAANUUGCGAAGGCAGGUUACUACCAGUGGAUUGACGCUGAUGGACGAAAGCGUGGGUAGCGAACAGGAUUAGAUACCCUGGUAGUCCAAGGGCGAAU